rnacentral:rRNA from 1 species
UGCUGCAGUUCCCUGACUGUGCAAAGGUAGCAUAAUAAUUUGCCUUUUAAUUGGAGGCUAGUAUGAAAGGUUUGACGAAAGUAAAUCUGUCUCUUUUAUGUUAAUUAGAAACUAUUUUUUAAGUUAAAAAGCUUAAAUUUUAUUAGAGGACGAGAAGACCCUAUCGAGCUUAUAAAUAUUAUUUUAAAUGGCAAUUAUUGUUUAAAUAUGAGUUUAAUAGGUUAUUUUUAGUUGGGGCAACUGCGGUGCAUUAAGAGCCUCCGUUAUAGUUAUAAUUUGUGAAUGAUCCGACAUUGUCGAAUGAUGACUUAGUUACCGUAGGGAUAACAGCGUAAUUUUUUUGGAGAGAUCUUAUCGAUAAAAAAGAUUGCGACCUCGAUGUUGGAUUAAAAACAUACUUUAAGGUGCAGGGGCUUUAUAAAGUUAGUCUGUUCGACUAUUAAAUUUUU